rnacentral:rRNA from 1 species
AAUAGAUACCCUGGUAGUCCAUGCCGUAAACGAUGUCUACUAGCCGUUGGGGCCCUUGAGGCUUUAGUGGCGCAGCUAACGCGAUAAGUAGACCGUCUGGGGAGUACGGUCGCAAGACUAAAACUCAAAUGAAUUGACGGGGGCCCGCACAAGCGGUGGAGCAUGUGGUUUAAUUCGAUGCAACGCGAAGAACCUUACCUGGCCUUGACAUACAGAGAACUUUCCAGAGAUGGAUUGGUGCCUUCGGGAACUCUGAUACAGGUGCUGCAUGGCUGUCGUCAGCUCGUGUCGUGAGAUGUUGGGUUAAGUCCCGCAACGAGCGCAACCCUUUUCCUUAUUUGCCAGCACUUCGGGUGGGAACUUUAAGGAUACUGCCAGUGACAAACUGGAGGAAGGCGGGGACGACGUCAAGUCAUCAUGGCCCUUACGGCCAGGGCUACACACGUGCUACAAUGGUCGGUACAAAGGGUUGCUACUGCGCGAGCAGAUGCUAAUCUCAAAAAGCCGAUCGUAGUCCGGAUCGC